AGGACGAACGCUGGCGGCGUGCUUAACACAUGCAAGUCGAGCGGUAAGGCUCCUUCGGGAGUACACGAGCGGCGAACGGGUGAGUAACACGUGAGCAAUCUGCCCUUCACAUUGGAAUAACUUCGGGAAACCGAAGCUAAUACCGAAUACGACCACCGAUGGCAUCAUCUGGUGGUGGAAAGUUCCGGCGGUGAAGGAUGAGCUCGCGGCCUAUCAGCUUGUUGGUGGGGUCAUGGCCCACCAAGGCGACGACGGGUAGCCGGCCUGAGAGGGUGACCGGCCACGACUGGGACUGAGACACGGCCCAGACUCCUACGGGAGGCAGCAGUGGGGAAUAUUGGACAAUGGGCGAAAGCCUGAUCCAGCAACGCCGCGUGAGGGAUGACGGCCUUCGGGUUGUAAACCUCUUUCACCCACGACGAAGCGAAAGUGACGGUAGUGGAGAAGAAGCACCGGCCAACUACGUGCCAGCAGCCGC
rnacentral:rRNA from 1 species